rnacentral:rRNA from 1 species
AGUGAACGCUGGCGGUAGGCCUAACACAUGCAAGUCGAACGGCAGCACAGUAAGAGCUUGCUCUUACGGGUGGCGAGUGGCGGACGGGUGAGGAAUACAUCGGAAUCUACUUUUUCGUGGGGGAUAACGUAGGGAAACUUACGCUAAUACCGCAUACGACCUACGGGUGAAAGCAGGGGAUCUUCGGACCUUGCGCGAUUGAAUGAGCCGAUGUCGGAUUAGCUAGUUGGCGGGGUAAAGGCCCACCAAGGCGACGAUCCGUAGCUGGUCUGAGAGGAUGAUCAGCCACACUGGAACUGAGACACGGUCCAGACGCCUACGGGAGGCAGCAGUGGGGAAUAUUGGACAAUGGGCGCAAGCCUGAUCCAGCCAUACCGCGUGGGUGAAGAAGGCCUUCGGGUUGUAAAGCCCUUUUGUUGGGAAAGAAAAGCAGCAGGUUAAUACCCCGCUAUUCUGACGGUACCCAAAGAAUAAGCACCGGCUAACUUCGUG